GAUGAAGUGCCUGAUAAAAGGAUUAUUUUGAUAGAAUAAAAAAUGUAAAUAAUUUACCUUCAUUA
rnacentral:tRNA from 1 species